rnacentral:tRNA from 1 species
GAGGAAGAUGCCUGAUAAAGGAUUAUUUUGAUGUAAUAAAUUAUGUUUUAAAAACUCUUCUU